UGUAAAAUUUCAAAGGUCGAACAGACCCAAAAUUCUAGCUUCUACACCAAAAUUUAAUUUUAAUCCAACAUCGAGGUCGCAAACUUUUUUAUCGAUAAGAACUCUCCAAAAAAAAUUACGCUGUUAUCCCUAAGGUAAUUUAAUCUUAUAAUCCAUAUAAUAGGACCAAAUAUUCAUAAAUAAAUGUUUCAAACAAAAAAAAGUUUAUUAAAUUUUUCCAUCGCCCCAACGAAAUAUUUAACUAAAAAUAAAAGAAUAAAUUCAAUAACCAAUAAAUUUAACCAAAUAUAAAACUCUAUAGGGUCUUCUCGUCUUUAUAAAAAAUUUAAGCUUUUUCACUUAAAAUUGAAGUUCUAAAACAUUUAAAUAGAGACAGUUAUUUUCUCAUCAAACCUUUCAUUCCAGCUUUCAAUUAAAAAACUAAUGGUUAUGCUACCUUUGCACAGUCAAGAUACUGCGGCCAUUCAAAAAUCAUUGGGCAGGCCAGACUUUAAAUCAAAAUCAAAAAGAC
rnacentral:rRNA from 1 species